GACGAACGCUGGCGGCGUGCUUAACACAUGCAAGUCGAACGGAAAGGCCCUGCUUUUGUGGGGUGCUCGAGUGGCGAACGGGUGAGUAACACGUGAGUAACCUGCCCUUGACUUUGGGAUAACUUCAGGAAACUGGGGCUAAUACCGGAUAGGAGCUCAUGAUGCAUGGUGGGGGUUGGAAAGUUUCGGCGGUUGGGGAUGGACUCGCGGCUUAUCAGCUUGUUGGUGGGGUAGUGGCUUACCAAGGCUUUGACGGGUAGCCGGCCUGAGAGGGUGACCGGGCACAUUGGGACUGAGAUACGGCCCGGACUCCAACGGGAGGCAGCAGUGGGGAAUAUUGCAAAAUGGGCGGAAGCCUGGAGCAGCAUCGCCGGGUGCGGGAUGACGGUCUUCGGGGUGUAAACCGCUUUCGCCUGUAACGAAGCGUGUGUGACGGUAAUGGGUAAAGAAGCACCGGCUAACUACGUG
rnacentral:rRNA from 1 species